UCAUCUCCCUCUAUCCUAAACCCUAGCCGCCCCUAAAAUCCCCAAUUCCACCACCGGUGGCUGCCACUCUAAAUAAGCUCCAAACCUUCACCCAAUGAUCCCCAUCUCAUCCUCAUCCAAUAUCACCGCCUUGUUUCUUCAAAGACCAUGUAGAUUUCCACCAAUUACAAAUCUAAAAAACCCAGAAACCCUAGCUUCUUUCCCUUUUUUGAUUAUUCAGAUUUCAAGGUUCGAUUCAAGCUGAAAAUCACAUUAAUCGAUUGUUCUUAAUGUUAAUUUCAGUUCGUAUCGAAGAUAUCGGAAUCCAGCUGAGCUUCGUGGAUUUGCUUCAAAUUGAACUAUUUUCUUUUCAUUAGUUUGGUUUGUCCAUCUCAUCAAUCAUGCUUAAACGAACACUUGUUGAGAUAAAAUUUAUCGAUUUUCAAAUUUGAUCACCAGUUGGUCAAAUUUGAUGAUUGAGAAGGUCCAGGCAGCGUUGAAGUGCAUCAAUUGAUAGUCUUGCCUUUCUAUGAGCAAUAAAGGGCAAUCUGGGAAUUAUGACAGAGGCGUUCUCAUAUUUUUAGCUGUUAAGGUUGUAUUUGAUAGAGUAGCCACUGUGAUGUACUAAUUUUCUUCUUUUUUUUUUAAUUUAUUUAUUUCAAAUUCCAGUAGAGUCGAAGUUUAGUCUUUUGUCCCUUUUGUUAUAUGUUCAGCUUUGAGGCAGUAGUACCCCUAGAUUGAUUUGACUUCUGGAAUUUAUGAGAUUAGGGAACUCUAAUAUUGCUAUCAUUGUUUAGUUACUCUUCAA